AUACGUAGGGGGCGAGCGUUGUCCGGAAUUACUGGGCGUAAAGGGUGCGUAGGCGGCUUGUUAAGUCAGAUGUGAAAUACCGGGGCUCAACCUCGGGGGUGCAUUUGAAACUGGCGGGCUUGAGUGCAGGAGAGGAAAGUGGAAUUCCUAGUGUAGCGGUGAAAUGCGUAGAGAUUAGGAGGAACACCAGUGGCGAAGGCGACUUUCUGGACUGUAACUGACGCUGAGGCACGAAAGCGUGGGGAGCAAACAGGAUUAGAUACCCUGGUAGUCCACGCCGUAAACGAUGGAUACUAGGUGUAGGGGGUAUCGACCCCCUCUGUGCCGGAGUUAACGCAAUAAGUAUCCCGCCUGGGGAGUACGGCCGCAAGGUUAAA
rnacentral:rRNA from 1 species